rnacentral:tRNA from 1 species
AAAGUUAUAGUCAAAGAUGACAUCUAAGUUGCAUUUAGAAAGUGCUUUUCAUAAGCUAGCUUUA